UACAGAGGUCCCGAGCGUUGUUCGGAUUUAUUGGGCGUAAAGGGUGCGUAGGCGGUCCGGUAAGUCCGCUGUGAAAGUCGAGGGCUCAACCCUCGAAUGCCGGUGGAUACUGUCGGGCUUGAGUACGGGAGAGGCGAGUGGAAUUCCUGGUGUAGCGGUGAAAUGCGCAGAUAUCAGGAGGAACACCGAUUGCGAAGGCAGCUCGCUGGAACGUUACUGACGCUGAGACGCGAAAGCGUGGGGAGCAAACAGG
rnacentral:rRNA from 1 species